CCCCUAGUAACUGCGAGUGAAGCGGGAAAAGCUCAAAUUUAAAAUCUGGCGGUCUUUGGCCGUCCGAGUUGUAGUCUGGAGAAGUGCUUUCCGCGCUGGACCGUGUAUAAGUCCCUUGGAACAGGGCGUCGUAGAGGGUGAGAAUCCCGUCUUUGACACGGACUACCAGUGCUUUGUGAUGCGCUCUCAAAGAGUCGAGUUGUUUGGGAAUGCAGCUCAAAAUGGGUGGUGAAUUCCAUCUAAAGCUAAAUAUUGGCGAGAGACCGAUAGCGAACAAGUACCGUGAGGGAAAGAUGAAAAGCACUUUGGAAAGAGAGUUAAACAGUACGUGAAAUUGCUGAAAGGGAAACGCUUGAAGUCAGUCGCGUCGGCCGGAACUCAGCCUUGCUUUCGCUUGGUGCACUUUCCGGUUGACGGGCCAGCAUCGAUUUUGACCGUCGGAUAAGGGCUAGAGUAAUGUGGCACCUCCGGGUGUGUUAUAGACUCUAGUCGCACACGGCGGUUGGGAUCGAGGAACGCAGCGCGCCGCAAGGCAGGGGUUCGCCCACUUUCGCGCUUAGGAUGCUGGCAUAAUGGCUUUAAACGACCCGUCUUGAAACACGGACCAAGGAGUCUAACAUACCUGCGAGUGUUUGGGUGGAAAACCCGAGCGCGUAAUGAAAGUGAAAGUUGAGACCUCUGUCGUGGAGGGCAUCGACGCCCGGACCUGACGUUCUCUGACGGAUCCGCGGUAGAGCAUGUAUGUUGGGACCCGAAAGAUGGUGAACUAUGCCUGAAUAGGGUGAAGCCAGAGGAAACUCUGGUGGAGGCUGGUAGCGAUUCUGACGUGCAAAUCGAUCGUCAAAUUUGGGUAUAGGGGCGAAAGACUAAUCGAAC
rnacentral:rRNA from 1 species